AUCACUUCCCUACCUUGUGGCUCAGAUCAAGUGUAGUAUCUGCUCCUACCAGGUUAGUAUCUGAUAUGUCCUCUGUCCGAGGACAAUAUAUUAAAUGGAUUUUUUGGGGAGCUGGGAGAUGGAGCAGCAGCUUGCUGUGUCCAAGAUACUCCUUGAUUUGGUGUUGCAGUAGUCCAGGAAUGGUGCCCCCACC
ensembl:snRNA Gm25259 predicted gene, 25259